AUAAUUAAGCGGAGGAAAAGAAAGCAAAAGCGAUUCCCCAAGUAACGGCGAGUGAACAGGGAUAAGCCUAGCGCUAAGGCUUAAUGUGGCCGUCGCAAGGCGGUCAAGCAAGACAACAUUAAGCGGUGCAGCGUUACAAACUCUGGUGUUCGUAGUGUCAAUGUGGCACACCGGGCAACUGGUGUGUCACUUUCGGCCUAGCGUACAAGUCCCAUUGACUUGGGCUUAUUCUUAAUUGAGAUGUCUACGUGUUUGGGGCAACCUGGAUGCGUGGAUGAGCCAUAGAGGGUGAAAGUCCCUUAAUGCGCGGGUAUUGACGCUACUAAUCAGAGCAGUGGUGUCUGGUCAAACAGGCGCUGCGGUUUAUUAGAGUCGGGUUGCUUGAGAGUGCAACCUAAAGAGCGAGGUAAACUGCUCGUAAGGCUAUGUGUAAAUACGGCUACGACACCGAUAGCAAACAAGUACCGUGAGGGAAAGUUGCAAAGUACUUUGAAGAGAGAGUUAAACAGGGCGUGAAACCGCUAGCUGGUAAACGAGUGGAGCCACGAAGUCGUUUCGUAGAAUACGGGGCGCAAAUUCAGCUGAUGGUCUCGCGGCCGCAGCGUAUUUUUGCUUGUCCCGCUACUGUAAGCGUACACUGCAACCAAUUAGACGGCCAAACGUGGAACUAGUUUGCAAGUCGACAGGGAAACUUGUUGCUUGUAAACGUAGAAAUUUAUGCAUUCACCGUAGGUAGCUUGGUUAGAGUCUUGUAUUCUAUCCGGGUGUCUGACGCGUUGGAUGCGUGAACUACGUUUGGGUACUGAUUGGCAAAAGGAAAAUCGAAUCGCAAGAUUCGUUUGUUCAUAGAAAGCGUCCAGCAUCGUGCGGCGGGUACAAUUGCGCGCCGCUAGUGUAAGCUUGGUAUUUUUGAAUUCAGGCACGUAUAUUGUGAUCGGGCUCGUCUCGUUCAUAUAUGCGCUGUUUCCUGUCUAAUCGGGUAUUAACUUUACUGGCGGUCCGAUGUAAUUGCUAUGAUAGCUCGUCGCUGCGAUAGUUGGUCAGCAAGCAUUAGCAGUGAGUAGGUCGGCUUUCCACACGACCCGUCUUGAAACACGGACCAAGGAGUCUAGUUAAGUAUCGAGUCGAUCGGUCUUGAUUAGGCCAGACUCUGGGAGUUCUGUUCGCGCGGAACGUUCCAGUAUCGCAGUAUGAUGGCAAAGUGAAAUCAAAUUAUAUGUGAUCUGAGGUCUAUAAAAAUGGCCUACAGCGCAACAUAUGCCCACUCGUAUGGUUAUACGCGCAAGUGUUAGCCGGGUGGAGCAAAGAGAUACUUGACUGGUACCCGAAAGAUGGUGAACUAUUCCUGGCCAGAUUGAAGCCAGAGGAAACUCUGGUGGAGGAUUGUAGCGAUUCUGACGUGCAAAUCGAUCGUCAGAGCUGGGUAUAGGGGCGAAAGACUAAUCGAACCAUCUAGUAGCUGGUUCCCUCCGAAGUUUCCCUCAGGAUAGCAAGCUCUCGCAGAAAUGAGUGAAUCAGUUUCAUCUGGUAAAGCGAAUGAUUAGAGGCCUUGGGAGCGAAACGCUCUCAACCUAUUCUCAAACUUUAAAUGGGUGAGAUGUACGACGUGCUUAAUUGACGCCGUAUUCACAGAAUGUAUUGAGAGCUUAGUGGGCCAUUUUUGGUAAGCAGAACUGGCGAUGCGGGAUGAACCGAAAGUGAAGUUAAGGUUGCCGAUAAUGGUGCUAACAAAUUGUGCACUAGCUACACUCAUGAGAUCCCAUGAAAGGUGUAAGUUGCUAAAGACAGCAAGGACGUGGCCAUGGAAGUCGGAAUCAUCUAAGGAGUGUGUAACAACUCACUUGCCGAAGCAACUUGCCCUGAAAAUGGAAGCAGCUCGAGUGUUGAACCUAUACUUCACCGUUGAAUCAUCGUUCGUAUUGAAUGCGAUUAGUUAUGAUUCAACGUGUAGGAGGGUUGUGUUGGUAGCGUUGAAGGCUAUGAGGGAGUGAUCCUGGCUGGAGCUGCCAAUAGUGCAGAUCUUGGUGGUAGUAGCAAAUACUCAAGUGAGACCCUUGAGGGCCAAUGUGGAGAAGGGUUCCAUGCUAACAGCAAUUGGACAUGGGUCAGUCGGUCCUAAGAGAAUGGCGAAAGCUAUUUCUGAAUCAAAGGCAGUGUAUACGAAACUAUUUGAACGUAGGCCAAAUCUAUAUCUCUGGCAUAUUGACGGCGUGGGUUGGUUGUCGUGUUUUCGAGUGUUUUGGAAAAAAACGCGCGGAAAGCGCCAACAUCAACAGCCUUUCGGCUYGAUAUGCGAAAUCAGGGAAUAGGUACGGCCGAAAAGUACAAAAGAACACUGUAUGACUCGAAAGGGAAUCAGGUUAAUAUUCCUGAACCAAGAUGAGGAGAUUGUUUGUUGUGCGGUUUUUCGGAGCUGUGCAACAGGCAUCGGCGGUAACGCAAACAAGCACGAUGACGCCGGCGGCAGUCCUGGGAAGAGUUGUCUUUUCUUUGUAAGCUU
rnacentral:rRNA from 1 species